GUUUGUAGUCGUGCGGAACUGUGAGACCAAGAGCUCCUGAGGAACUAACAGCGAACAGCAUUUUUAGGAAGUCUUCCCACAAUCAUUUGCCGGCAUAAUGAUCUCUGAUGAACGUCGGCGCUAAGAGGGUGGUAUUAAAGCGGGAAUAAUACUUGUGUGCUGCACGGCCUUCGUGUGCUGACCUGCUUCCUACAGCAGAGCCUACAGUGUGUUGAAGCAUGGUUGGAGUGUGUACUGCAGCUGCGGCGGGAAGCUAGGCCACUCCAACUCCCUCGUCUCUCGGAUGCGUAACCUGCUCCGGGUAGUCAUCUAAAUCAUUCUGCACAUGCUGCUGUCACUGAAGACAACCCAGUUUUAGAGUGUGCCUCACGAAAGAAAUCUCAAACUAAAUUUGCUGCUGCAGCACUUUCGCAUUUUGCUCGUCUGAAAUAUUUGACACCAGACAGUAUCUCGGGAUUCCUGUAUACUCGAGCGAGGGUGGAGAAGAGGUAGAGCAGUCAUAAAAGGGAACUUCCCUGCAGCACCUUGUUUCUCCCCCCAUUAGUUUGUUUCUCACACUCUUGCCCUUAAGACAGAGGGACUGCAGUAGAUAUAAGUGGCCAGUGAAGAGAAAUCCCAGCGGUGAGGCAGGUGUGGGAUCGGCCUUCAUUAUCUCCCAACACCUCCGUCCAAUUAUGAGCUGCGCUUCAGUGAUGACAACCCUACUGUGUGAGCGUGCAUAUGUGUGUGUGCGCACGUGUGUGUGUGUGUGUCACUCUUAUUCCUGGGUGGCCUGGGCUUCACUUGUUAUUUCCUUUAAAGUUUUGCUUCCUCAAAAAUCCCUCAGUUGCAUCUCUUUUCACUUGUAAAUACCAGAAAACUUUCUUCUGACAAAGUGUGAACGCGACACGUUUUUCUUCCCCCCUUUUGCUGUAUCUCUAUUCGGGUUGCACCACAAACCCCAUAAUAGUCUGUUAUUAAGCCAGCUGUGUCGACAUAAAUGAUAUUAAAAUCAGCACAUGCAUCGUGUUAGGUUUUUUUUUGUACUUGGCAUUCAAAUAAAUGAUUACAGAUAAGGGCAUCGUGAAUUGCAAUCUUUUUUUUUUUUUUUUUUGCCUUUAAUAUAUUCAUGUAUAAAAGAAUGCUGGCACUCAGGGUGCAAAAUAAUUCUGAAAGGUUUAUUACACUGGGACAUGAUAAAAAAAAAAAAAAGAACAAAAAUGCUCGGUGCAUGUAUAAAUAAACCUCUUUCUAUUUAUCUGACCUAAAUUUGAACAAUAUUUCUGUCAGAGCCAAUCAGCCUGGUGACAUUAUUCUCUCAUUACAGCGCCGCUAACAUGCUGCAAUAACAUGACUAACAAGUGAUUUAUGAGACUUUAGGUCCUAGACUUCGGAUUAAAUUCUAAAGUUGGAUAAAUGAGGAAAGCAGUAUUUGUUGUCACAGAACCCACUUAUUUCAUGUCGUCUGCCCCCCCCCCCCCCCCCCCCGACCACACCUCCUAGUCAUUAACAUCACCUCGGAGCAGUUUCUCUGUGCUUUUCAUGCCCACUCUUUGUUUUCUUCCUGUUUCCUUUAGUGCUCCUUCUUGUAUUCACCCUAUAUCCAGAUGAUUAGAAAUGCACAAAUAAAGUGAUGCAACAAGACACUGUACAUGUUCAUUUGCUCAUCUGAACCCUAUGGACAGUCAA